UGGGGAAUUUUGCGCAAUGGGCGAAAGCCUGACGCAGCGACGCCGCGUGUACGAUGAAGGCCUUUGGGUCGUAAAGUACUGUCAACGGGGACGAACGCCUCAGGUUGAAUAGGUCUGAGGUCUGACGGUACCCGUGGAGGAAGCACCGGCUAACUCUGUGCCAGCAGCCGCGGUAAUACAGAGGGUGCAAACGUUGCUCGGAAUGACUGGGCGUAAAGCGCGCGCAGGUGGCCCGUUAAGUCGAGGGUGAAAGCCCGGGGCUCAACCCCGGAACGGCCUUCGAGACUGGGCAGCUCGAGACCGGAAGAGGAGGGUGGAAUACCCAGUGUAGAGGUGAAAUUCGUAGAUAUUGGGUGGAACACCAGUGGCGAAAGCGGCUCUCUGGUCCGGAUCUGACGCUGAGGCGCGAAAGCGUGGGGAGCAAACAGGAUUAGAUACCCCUGUAGUCC
rnacentral:rRNA from 1 species